UUUUUAAUUAAUUAAUUUCUC
rnacentral:piRNA from 1 species